AUCCGGUUAUAUUCAGAGAUACCAAUCCUCUAUUGAGACUCAAGGGCACAUACACAAACACACCCUUGAAGGUCAGCAGAUGGGGAAACUGAGGCAUGCGGUUCUGGGGAGUUCCCUCGGGGCAUAGUCUGUGAACUGUGGGUAUUCAUUCAUCUUAGCUAGUGUCCGUGGACACUUACUGUGCUCUUGGGAUGCUCAGGGGACCUUGGAAAGGGGGAGGGGAAGUCACAUGGAGCACCGGGACUAUGGGGACAGAUAUCACAGAUGCCACAGGUAGGUACCCGGGUGGUACCUCCUGGCACAGGUACUCUGGGACACUGGUUCACAACCUUCCUACCGCUGCAACUUUUUAAUACAGUUCCCAGUGUUGUGGUGACACCACCCCCACAUAAAUUAUUUUUGUUGCUACAUCAUAACUGUAAAUUUGCUACUGUUAUGAAUUUUGUUUUCCAGUGGUCUUAGGUGAAAGAAUUACUUUAUCUCCAAAGCCGUGAUCAUGACCCAUGGGUUGAAAACUGCUGUUCUAGAGGGAGAGUGGGGUGGUCUCAAAGCCAGACCCAGUCGCAUCUGUGAGUGCAACAGGAAGGCAUACCUCAGCAUGAAUGUGGAGGAGCCUCUCUAGGACAGCAGCACCUGUUGGCAGGCUCAAAGUCUAGGAGAGUCAAGGGCAGGGCAGGGGGAGAAAGCUGCAAUGUCAUCCUAGCAGAUUGCAUUCUUUUGAGCACUUCUUGCUCCUCUGGUGUUGGGAGCUUCUUAUCCUCUCUUGUUUCUUUGCUUUAUUCCUGUAUAUGUAUCCGAAUCCUUUUUCUUCCCUGAUGUUGAAGAUAAAACCCAGGGUUCUGCACACGCAAGACUAGGCCUCUGCUACUGAACUGUGGCCCAGCCAUGUCACAGCCCCCUGUGUACUGUGUGCCUGGCGCGUUGAAGCGUCUCAGAUGCUGACUGAGUGAAGAGACUCUCCCUGUGAUGGAUACUAUCUAUCCUGACUGACCUUAGAGUCAGGCCUGUGGUUCUGAUGGCUUCCAGUUUUAUUCUGGAGUCUCUCUGACUCCUCUCCGUUCCUCACUGUCCUAUGAAGGGAUCACGUAUGUGCAGCAGCCGUUAGGAUGCUAUAAAGCAUGCUGUUGGGGGUUGUAAAUAACAAUCCCGAUCUCUGUUUAGACUCAGUUGCUGUUUCUGUCUUUUAGAGGAGAGGAGAAAUAAAACUUAGCUCACUCUACCUCUCCAUGUAAUAGUUAAUAGCAUAGGACCUGUUAGGUGUUGUACCUCCAUUGGUGCUUAUAUGUGUGUUGGGUACACGCGUGUUUGUCCGUGUGUGGAAGCCCGAGGGUGUGUUUGCUUAGACACUCUUCACCUUUUUAUUGAGGCAGGGUCACUUACUGGUUUGGAACUAGCCAGAGUGUCUGAGCUCCAGGGAUCCACCCACCUCUGCCUUCCAAUUCUGGGAUUACAGUCAUGAGCCAUCACUCCUAACUUAAAAAAAAAAAAAGCAAAUAAAUAAAAUAAAAAGCUAAAUGAC
rnacentral:lncRNA from 1 species